rnacentral:rRNA from 1 species
UUUCAACGCGACCCCAGGUCAGGCGGGAUUACCCGCUGAAUUUAAGCAU